CGGAACUUUGUGCGUGCGGCGUAUGUGUGCGGGUUGCGUGAUGAGUUUGCUGCGUUUUCUGUGCCCUUUGCCUCGCUGUGACAUCUUUGGUAUAUUACAACUUAUUGUUCGGUCUUUAUGGGCUACACGGUGCCUCGAAGAUCACCAUGAUCGCCUCCGACUCAGCCACAUCGAAGAAUCAAAAUGAGCCUGGAGACGCCACAGCCGGAAUGCAAAAGGUUGGAGAGGUGCUCAUUCAGAUGAUCCUGGCACAGCUUGCCAUGGUGGACCAGGCAAGUUUGCAAGGGCCUUGAUUCACCAUGUGUUCACUGAGGAGAACCUCAUGGGCCACUUACUUCUCGGAAACACCACCACCAUUAGGCAAAAAGAGGCUCUUGGCCUUAUCAGGGUCAACGCUGUUAUAGGCAAGUACCGUACAUCUUUUUACCCAUUGCAUUUUUGCCUUCACAUUUUGUGCUUGGAAUUACCAGCUUGCUAUUAGUACAACAAAUGACUUUCAAGUAGCCUGUGUCUGCAACUACGUGCUACAAUAGCCUACUAUUUGGAAUGAAUGUUCAUUUGAUCUCAGGUCUCUAACGCCUCCAUACUAAAGUGCUAAAUUUUAAAAGCAGCCUUAACUGCCAGAAGUGAUUGGUGGCUCCAACUGACAAAGUUAGGUGUAUUUGCGCAUUAGUUGCACUACUUGACUGUCAUUGCAAUGAACAGUUGCAAUGAAGCAACUACCAAUCUGUAGUACCAAUCUGUGAAGCUUGCUACCAAUCUGUUGCUAUAGCGGGUGUGCUUAAGUAGCCUGAAAGUGUUGUUAUAGGAAUUGUGGAGAAGCUAUGCUCAAGUGCAGUUACUGCUCAGCUCGAGGGACAGCACUUCCACCAAAUUUCAGCAAUCAAAAUGGC